rnacentral:lncRNA from 1 species
UGUUACUAAAAUUAUAAUUAACCAUAAAUUAUUUUAGAUCUAAUCUAAAUAUAUUCAUGAUCAAAAUAAAUUUAAAUUUUUUUCGCUAUUCUUCAUCAUGAGACUUAAUCACAAUAGCACCUCCACACAUAAUAAGAGUACCCUAUUGAAUAGGAAGAGAGGGUCUUUAAAUUCUACUUGCUCAUAUGAUCGGAUGACUUGGUGAUCUUCUCAAUUCAAAUACUGGAGUACUAAGAUUUGAAAUCUAAUUUCAAAAACUAAUUACAUCAUCAUGUAAAUUAUCAAACAAACUAAGCAUGCACAUGAAUAUGAUCUUGCUCAUAUGAUCGGAUGAUUUGGUGAUCUUUUCAAUUUGAGUACUGGACUACUAAGAUCUAAAAUUUAAUUUCAAAAAUUAAUUACAUCAUCAUGUAAAUUAUCAAACAAACUAAGCAUGCAUAUGAAUAUGAUCAUAUCAUAUAUGUUAUACAUCUAAUCUUAUUAGAUCAAUGCAUUAGAUACAUUAUUUCAGAUCUGAAACUACUUUUAUAUAGUAUAUAAAAUUAUUAAUUUAGAUCUAAAAUAAUCUAAAAAUCUAUUUCAAACAUAUGUAUGAUUGCAUAGAAAAGUUCUGGUUAGAGAGGUGAUCAAACAUGUAUCAAUAUUGUGAUGAAAUCAGAUCUAAAACUUUGUCAAAUAAAUUUAAAUCUAAGCCUGAUUCCAACUUCAAUUCUCUAAUUGAAUUAUAUCAUAAAAAAUCUAUCAUAAUAUAUUUAAAUCCAUGUAUAAUCAAGUAUAAAAUCAGCACAAAAAUCUGCAUAGAAAAUUCUGCUAAAAUAGAAUUUUAGUAGUUUAGAUUUCGGGGCUGAUUUUGAUUCGAUAUUCUAAUCAAAAUCAAAUAAAAAUUAUACUAAAAAAUCAGAAGAGACCAAGGUUUAAUCAUAUCAAAAAUUUUGAUUCAAAAUCAAACAAAAAAAUCAAAAAAAUCUAAAAAUUUGACUAUGUGAUCAUGAUAUACAGGUCUGGCUUUGAUACCAAUUGAAGAAAAAAUUUGUUCGAUUGCAUCAGAUGCCAGAAAGAUAGAAUAGAUAAGUAAUUAAAAUUUUUAUAAUAUUUAUGAAUUCUCAUCUUCAUCCACUAUAGAAAAUAAUCAAGAUUGAAGAAGCUCCUCGAUCAAUAUACUUCAUAAGAUCUGGAUAUAUGGAUCUUCUGCUUCGCAUGCACGCUAAACACUGUAGGAG